CCUGCCUUCCUAUUAUUUUGGAUCGUUUCCAUUUACAUCCACAAGUUUCUGGUAGAUUUCGUCAAAGCGGCUGGUCAAAGCGGUGAACCCGAGUCCCUAUCCCCAUCUCUCUUCCAAUCUUUCUCCCUAUUGUUGCACGCCUGCACCCCACGUUUUUCCCUCUCUGGCUACCGUGCCACAUACCGAGGUGGCUAAUGGCGUGGAGGAGGAGCUCGCGCCGGAAACACCAUGGGAUGGCCGCGAGGGCCAUGCGCCUGCGUGGUGGAGGGUUUCCACUACCCGGGCCUUGCUGCCAUGCCCAGGGCUUCGACUGGCCGGCCCUUGCCGCCAUGCCCACGGCCUGAUGUGUCGCGUCGCGCGGCCAGGUCUUCACGAGCGGCGGCGGUUCGAUUGGACAGGAGGCGCCGAUUCGACUGGACAGGAGUUGCCGAGUCGUUGAGGGGCAUCGUCUGUAGCAGGAUGUCGUUGCGCCUCCUCUCCAUCCCGUCGUUCAUGUGAGGCUUCUCUCCCUUCCCUCUUACUAAUUCCCUGUUUUCAAUCUAUUUGUGAGCCUAGGUUUUUACCCCCUCUUAUUUAUUCCAUUUUACUGGUAUCUUUUUGUUUGCCCAGGUGUUUAGGUUUCUGUGGUCUCAACAUCCGUUCUAAGGUAUCAAUUUAUAUUUGAUUUCUGCAUUGUUGGAACUACGAUUUCUACGGCGGUUCAUAUCAACCAAUACUAAAAAAAAUUGCAGGGAAAACAAUAGGGUAGCUAUGCAGCCAUUCUUAGUGAAAGAUUUGUUGCCUGGAGGGUUUCAACGAAAACCAUUGUGUGUCCCCUAAAUCUGGGAGUAUAGGGACCAAGCGACCUGGCAAAAAUUGCUCCACUUGAACCUUAUUAUUACUAAUGAGAGGUACCUUCAAAUAUUCAGAUACUUCACUUAGUUAUUAUCACUCAUAAACAUAAUAUUUAGAAUUAGCUACAGGGAUUCAUCUUAGCCUGUGUCAAUGUCUACUCCAUUAUCGAAGAAAAAUAAUUGAACACUUAUGUUUCUUUGCUGACAAACACACACUGUUUUCCUGCAAUGCAACCAAGAAAUGCUAGGUUUCCAUCUAUUGUAUAGUUACUUGCUAACAAAGUUAUUUGUUAUCUGCACGAAAUAUACACUCAGAUUUAACUGAUGUUUCAGCGCAACACAAUGGAAGGCUGUGUGCGAUCCAAUCGAAUAUACAACUUCAGAGAACGACUAAAUUAAAGGAAGGUUCCAUCUACGGAUUUGAUUCUUUUGUUGUUACUAAGUUCGAUCUACAAUGUGCCUAAUUUUUUUCCCUUCAGGUACUGCAAGGUGUUAGUGAUUUUGUACAUAGAGGCCUACAAAGUAUGUGUUGGAUUGUUGAUGCAAAUCGCUAUAUCAAAAAAAGCAAUUUUUGCAUCUACUAGAAUGAUAUAUUGGCCUCAUAUCAGGACCUUAGAAGCAAGAAAAAAGAUCAGCUUAUGUCUGCCAUAUCAUCUUUAAUGGUAAUUUAUAGAACAAGGUUCGCCAGGUAUUGGUGAUGUUCUAUGUCCAUUGCUGCACAGAUGAGCAUGUCGUCGGUGAUUUUUCAUGAUAACAUGAAGAGCAAAUCAAAAACUGUGGCUGGACCAUAUUCAAUUUUUCAUUUACCUUUCUCAUAAUGUAUUUCUUUCAUUAUACUGCAAGAAACUUGCUACUAAGCUUCCUUCAAUAUCAAUGUUUCCACCAAUAUUAAAUGUGCGACUCAUAUGAAUACGGGCAAACAUUACAUGAUGUUAAUCUUGACAAGUUUCUAAAUUUUGUUUGUUAUUCGCAGGAAGUGUGUUCGAUAAAGGGGAAGUUCCUGCUGGGUUUCCUGAUUUGGUUGAUAUGCGUCUCCUUCUCACAAACAUGACGUUCCUUGGUUGAUGUUAGUUUGGUUCAAAUAUUUUUUAGACUGUGUACCACAUGCUAUUUCUCCCCGUGGAUCGUUUUGGUGGUGAGACGUGUGCAGUUUGUCUAAUAUUUUUAGAGGAAUCAAGCAUUGUUCAUUCAAGGCUGGAGACACAGUAUUAUUAUGGAAAUACGUCUGUACUGCAAAUGAUAUCCUGCACCAUCAAUAACCUCAUUUAUUCUCCUAUUCAGAUCUAAAAGAUGUUAGUAUUGCAGAGUACUUGGAGAAGAAUGACCUAGCCAUCCACUUUGUUUUGUCGUUGUCUCUCGAAGCUCAUGAGGAGCUGCAUAUCUUGGCGAGUAUGUCUAUAAUAUUCAGAGUGAGGUGUUGCAGCUAGAUGAAUGGAGUUAUGCGUGGGGAGCUAAGGAUUUCAGAGCACAUAAAUACUACAGUGCAGCAUGUUCGUCCGCUUUGGGGAUUGUUUGGGACACGAGCCUUGAUCUGAGUAGUAGAAUCUCCACAACUGCACGAUUAUGGAAUAAGCUACUGUUUGAUGUAUAUCCUUCGUGCUUCGAACAUUUGGAAACAAAGGAACAGGAGGUAUUUUCAUACUAUUCAGAGUAUUCAGAGUUGGCUUGGCUUACUAAGGUAGGAGACAGGGUUAAACCCGAGUUUAGAGAUCAAAUAAAAACUAUUGUGAGUGAGUUGAUAGUUUGAGAUACUUACUGAGUUGCAACAUACAUAUAUUUUUUACCUACCUCAUUCGACUGUAAUAUGAGGUACCAUUUUCUGCCUACUGAUUUUAUUGUGCUCUCCAUUGUUUUGUUCAGACACUACCUUAUUUAUGCCACUUCCAGCCUCAGUGCUUGGUCUCAUGUGUU